UACGGGGGGGGCAAGCGUUGUUCGGAAUCAUUGGGCGUAAAGAGCGUGUAGGCGGCCAGAUAAGUCCGCUGUGAAAUCUCGAGGCUCAACUUCGAGCUGUCGGUGGAAACUGUCUGGCUAGAGUCCGGAAGAGGAGAAUGGAAUUCCUGGUGUAGCGGUGAAAUGCGCAGAUAUCAGGAAGAACACCCGUGGCGAAGGCGGUUCUCUGGGACGGUACUGACGCUGAGACGCGAAAGCGUGGGGAGCGAACAGG
rnacentral:rRNA from 1 species